rnacentral:rRNA from 1 species
UCUUCCGCAAUGGACGAAAGUCUGUCGGAGCAACGCCGCGCGAGUGAUGAAGGUUUUCGGAUCGUAAAGCCCUGUUGCUAGGGAAGAACAAGUGCCGUUCAAAUAGGGCGGCACCUUGACGGUACCUAACCAGAUAGCUACGGCUCACUACGUGCCAGCAGCCGCGGUAAUACGUAGGUGGCAAGCGUUGUCCGGAAUUAUUGGGCGUAAAGGGCUCGCAGGCGGUUUCUUAAGUCUGAUGUGAAAGCCCCCGGCUCAACCGGGGAGGGUCAUUGGAAAAUGGGGAACUUGAGUGCAGAAGAGGAGGGUGGAAUUCCACGUGUAGCGGUGAAAUGCGUAGAGAUGUGGAGGAACACCAGUGGCGAAGGCGACUCUCUGGUCUGUAACUGACGCUGAGGAGCGAAAGCGUGGGGAGCGAACAG